GAGGACCGAACCGACUAAUGUUGAAAAAUUAGCGGAUGACCUGUGGCUGGGGGUGAAAGGCCAAUCAAACCGGGAGAUAGCUGGUUCUCCCCGAAAGCUAUUUAGGUAGCGCCUCGUGAAUUCAUCUCCGGGGGUAGAGCACUGUUUCGGCUAGGGGGCCAUCCCGGCUUACCAACCCGAUGCAAACUGCGAAUACCGGAGAAUGUUAUCACGGGAGACACACGGCGGGUGCUAACGUCCGUCGUGAAGAGGGAAACAACCCAGACCGCCAGCUAAGGUCCCAAAGUCAUGGUUAAGUGGGAAACGAUGUGGGAAGGCCCAGACAGCCAGGAUGUUGGCUUAGAAGCAGCCAUCAUUUAAAGAAAGCGUAAUAGCUCACUGGUCGAGUCGGCCUGCGCGGAAGAUGUAACGGGGCUAAACCAUGCACCGAAGCUGCGGCAGCGACACUGUGUGUUGUUGGGUAGGGGAGCGUUCUGUAAGCCUGUGAAGGUGUGUCGUGAGGCAUGCUGGAGGUAUCAGAAGUGCGAAUGCUGACAUAAGUAACGAUAAAGCGGGUGAAAAGCCCGCUCGCCGGAAGACCAAGGGUUCCUGUCCAACGUUAAUCGGGGCAGGGUGAGUCGACCCCUAAGGCGAGGCCGAAAGGCGUAGUCGAUGGGAAACGGGUUAAUAUUCCCGUACUUGGUGUUACUGCGAAGGGGGGACGGAGAAGGCUAUGUUGGCCGGGCGACGGUUGUCCCGGUUUAAGCGUGUAGGUGUGUGUUCCAGGUAAAUCCGGUUCACUUUAACACUGAGGCGUGACGACGAGGCACUACGGUGCUGAAGCAACAAAUGCCCUGCUUCCAGGAAAAGCCUCUAAGCAUCAGGUAACAUCAAAUCGUACCCCAAACCGACACAGGUGGUCAGGUAGAGAAUACCAAGGCGCUUGAGAGAACUCGGGUGAAGGAACUAGGCAAAAUGGUGCCGUAACUUCGGGAGAAGGCACGCUGACACGUAGGUGAAGUGAUUUACUCAUGGAGCUGAAGUCAGUCGAAGAUACCAGCUGGCUGCAACUGUUUAUUAAAAACACAGCACUGUGCAAACACGAAAGUGGACGUAUACGGUGUGACGCCUGCCCGGUGCCGGAAGGUUAAUUGAUGGGGUCAGCGCAAGCGAAGCUCCUGAUCGAAGCCCCGGUAAACGGCGGCCGUAACUAUAACGGUCCUAAGGUAGCGAAAUUCCUUGUCGGGUAAGUUCCGACCUGCACGAAUGGCGUAAUGAUGGCCAGGCUGUCUCCACCCGAGACUCAGUGAAAUUGAACUCGCUGUGAAGAUGCAGUGUACCCGCGGCAAGACGGAAAGACCCCGUGAACCUUUACUAUAGCUUGACACUGAACAUUGAGCCUUGAUGUGUAGGAUAGGUGGGAGGCUUUGAAGUGUGGACGCCAGUCUGCAUGGAGCCGACCUUGAAAUACCACCCUUUAAUGUUUGAUGUUCUAACGUGGACCCGUUACCCGGGUUGCGGACAGUGUCUGGUGGGUAGUUUGACUGGGGCGGUCUCCUCCUAAAGAGUAACGGAGGAGCACGAAGGUUGGCUAAUCCUGGUCGGACAUCAGGAGGUUAGUGCAAUGGCAUAAGCCAGCUUGACUGCGAGCGUGACGGCGCGAGCAGGUGCGAAAGCAGGUCAUAGUGAUCCGGUGGUUCUGAAUGGAAGGGCCAUCGCUCAACGGAUAAAAGGUACUCCGGGGAUAACAGGCUGAUACCGCCCAAGAGUUCAUAUCGACGGCGGUGUUUGGCACCUCGAUGUCGGCUCAUCACAUCCUGGGGCUGAAGUAGGUCCCAAGGGUAUGGCUGUUCGCCAUUUAAAGUGGUACGCGAGCUGGGUUUAGAACGUCGUGAGACAGUUCGGUCCCUAUCUGCCGUGGGCGCUGGAGAACUGAGGGGGGCUGCUCCUAGUACGAGAGGACCGGAGUGGACGCAUCACUGGUGUUCGGGUUGUCAUGCCAAUGGCACUGCCCGGUAGCUAAAUGCGGAAGAGAUAAGUGCUGAAAGCAUCUAAGCACGAAACUUGCCCCGAGAUGAGUUCUCCCUGAGACUUAAAGUCUCCUGAAGGAACGUUGAAGACGACGACGUUGAUAGGCCGGGUGUGUAAGCGCAGCGAUGCGUUGAGC
rnacentral:rRNA from 1 species